ensembl:lncRNA
UCCUUGGGCAACCUGUUUCAGUGCAUCACUACCCUCUGGGUGAAAAACUUCCUCCUAACAUCUAACCUAAACCUCCCCUGCCUCAGCUUAUAUGACUUUAUACUGUCCCAGUUUUACAUGGCCUUAUAAUGAUAAUGUCUGGAUGUUAGCUGUGUUUUCUCAGCACAAGAAUCAUCCACUGGUUCCUUUAAUUCUGAUAAAACAGCUUUGUAUUUUCUGAUAGUGUCACAAGUUGGUCUUGUGUUAAACCAUUAUGUUUAUGAUUACCCUUUGAAGACGAUCAUUGGCUGCUAUCUUGGAUGGGUAACAGAGUUCAACUAUUAAACCUUCUCUGGCACAGCGAAGCAUAAGGAGAGCAUGAAACACCAAAUGUGUGGGCAGCCACUACACCGUUUCUGUCCAUCCCAGCACCAGAGAACAGUGACACACAGCCAGCCCUGUGGGAUCUGAUCUCCAGUGUUCCUGGCUGGGACCACUGAGAGUCCCCCGGGUAGCCCAGCUCCACGGUCCGACAGCCCAGGAUGGAAGCACUGAGAUCCAAGGGGAAAAUAACACUCCCUUCAAUACAGCUUCCAUUUCAGCCAGUUUUUGUUUCACGUGACAAGAUAUCAAACUAUUCUACAGUCUGAGUUUAAUAAUGGAAAAUCUGAAAGAAAAAUAAAUAAAAAAUCAGAAGAUCAGUGAAUCAUAGAAUCAUUAAGGUUGGAAAAGACCACAGAGAUCAUCUAGUUCAACCAUCCACCCAUCACCACCGUAAGGGAAGACAGCAACAGCUGAGGAGGCUCAGUGACCUUAAAUGAGAAACUCCCAAUGCGAUGGAGUAUUAGAAAGAUAGUAGGUAAAACAUGCACUAUGAGUUUAUCACCAAGCUCUGUUAUUUUGUAUGUAGUCCUGUCAUCCAUCACAGGGGUGUUUUAUCUUAAUGCCUGAAGUAUACGGCAAACCGUCAUAUUCACAUAGAGGAGUAAACCACCUUGUCUUAAUUUUUGCAAGAGCUUUCUGAGUAUCCUAAGAACACAAAGGCCUUUUUCUUAAGGACACUUUUGCCCUGUUUCAUAAUAACCCUGCUGUGAUGGUGUGACAUCAGUUGGAUUCAUUGUACUUCAUUUAUCGGGUUCGCAGUGAUACACAGAAGACAUCCCUCCGGGGUUAGGAAAUUCUGAUACUCA